UAAAAGUUUUGGUCCUAAACUUAUUAUUAUUCUUAACCCUGUUUAUACAUGCAAGCCUCCACACACCAGUGAGAAUGCCCACUGCCCCUCAACAGCUAACUGGAGCAGGUAUCAGGAACCACCACCCGCCUACGACACCUUGCCUCGCCACACCCACAAGGGCAAACAGCAGUAAUCAACAUUAAACCAUAAGCGAAAGCUUGAUUCAGCCGCGGUUAAAAAAGUCGGUAAAUUUCGUGCCAGCCACCGCGGUUAUACGAAAGACUAAAAAUAACAACCAACGGCGUAAAGAGUGACUAGAGUAUGUCAACAAAACUAAAUGGAAAACCACUAAUUAGCCGUCAAACGCCAACACACUGGGGAACCCCCCCCCCCAUUUAAUAAAAGAUUACUUUACCUCACCAAAGCUAAGAAACAAACUAGGAUUAGAUACCCUACUAUGCUUAGCCAUAAACAAAGACGGAACCCACACCAACCGUCCGCCCGAGAACUACAAGUGAAAAACUCGAAACUCUAAGGACUUGGCGGUGUCCCACACCACCCUAGAGGAGCCUGUCCUAUAAUCGACACCCCACGCUAAACCUCACCACCUUUUGCCAAUCAGCCUAUAUACCGCCGUCGACAGUCAACCCUAUGAAGGAAGAAUAGUUGACAAAACAGUUAACAACGAAUACGUCAGGUCAAGGUGUAGCACACAAGGUGGCAGAGAUGGGCUACAUUUUCUACUCAGACCACACGGAAAGCGGAAUGAAAAAACACCACAAGGCGGAUUUAGCAGUAAGACAAAUUAGCAUCAUUAUCUUAAACGCGCUCUGGGACGCGCACACACCGC
rnacentral:rRNA from 1 species